UCUUUGAGAGGUCAUCCCAUGCAUCUUUGCCAAUUAUCAAAUGAAACAGAGCCUCCGAGUAAAAGUUACAUUAAAAGUUAGUUUUUGACACUUAGUUGCGCACUCCCAAAACACCAGAUUGAUCAAAUAUUUUGGGAAAAGUAUUAUGGAGAUCAUGAUAAUUAAUCUAUUGGUUUUCUUCAUUUAUGCUUUAUCUUUCUAUUGCAUAAGGAAGUUGGGGUGUUUAAAUUUGAAAAAUGGCCCAAAAAAAUUGUUUGGGAGCCUAAAAAGGUGUUUAAUCACCCAUUUAAAAAAUUUAACUCAUUCAAAAUUUGCUCCUCAUUAUUAUUUUCUAACAGCAAAUUGUAUUUGAAUGAGAAAGGCUACUUGGAAUUUUAAAAAGAAGGGAAGGUAAGGGAGUGGGAAGUGAGGAGAAAGAGGCAUUCAUUUUGGGCUUUGAAAAUUAUAAAAUCCAAACACAAUGGGGUGGAAUCAAAAUAUAUACAACAUGGAGAAUAGGGGGGAAAGGAGGAGAAGUAGCAAAUUUGAAAGAGAAUAGAAAGCUGCAUGAAAUUGGGAAGAAAAUGGGGAGAAAGAGUUGAAUUGUGAGAGGCCAUGAAAGGCCAAGAAUGUCAUUUUGUGCUGCAGAUUUUGUCUGGAACGUAAAUUUGUAUUAAAGCAUGAAUUUUCCAUGGGUUCUCUUGUAAGGGUUUCCACGUAUAUCUUGUGUACUAUUUGUGAUAAAUGAUAGAUAGAUCUCAUGUGAAUGUUAAUAUGCAAUGAAUAUGCUUAUCAGAUUAAGUUAGAUGCUUAUGAUAUUAAGUUGAAAAAGUAAAAGUUUGUUGUUAUAGUGAUUCACCCCCCCACUCAAAAAAGUCGGUUCCUUCAAAAAAGUCUAACCACUUGAAGUUAGAUCAAGAGAGCACAUAUGACAAAUAAAAACGAAAAUAACAGAAAAAGAAAUACCAAGAAGGGUAUGAUAACAAAGCACCAAUACAAGUGAUGAUGAUGAAUUCCUUGAAAGAGUAAACCUAUUCUACACCUAGUGAAGAUUGGGAUUGAUAUGAUGAAAAUAAUGACGAGAAGAGUUUUGAGGAAGAACUCCAUCACACCAUAAAUAAGAUUGAAAAACCUAGGAAGAAGAACCAGAAACUAGAGCCUCCAUAUUCAAGAGAAUCUAGAGUCUAAUAAGGUGUUAGUAAGAAAUCUUGAUGAAUCCAAAAAAAAAUCAUAUUGCUAAAAGCUCAAAUUGAAGAAGACAAAAUAAUUGAAGAAGAAAUGAGAACUCAAUUGAAAGUCAAAAAAAGAAAAUGGUGAGAGAUUAUUUGAGAUUGCUUAAACUUAGAAAGAAGAACCAGAAACUAGAGCUACAUAUUCAAAAUAAUAUAGUCUAAUAAGGUGUUAGUAAGAAAUCCUGAUGAAUCCAAAAAAAAAUUAUAUUGCUAAAAGCUCAAAUUGAAGAAGGGAAAAUAAUUGAAGAAGAAAUGAGAACCCAAUUGAAAGUCAAAAAAAGAAAAUUGUGAGAGGUUAGAAGUUGAGAUUGCUUACUUAGAAGUGGGGAUUGCUUCUGUAAAUAAGGAUUUCGAAGAAACUACUUCCAAAUUAAAUACUAAUCUCAAGUUUGAAAAGAGCUCUGAAAUCCUAUAUGACAUCAUCACUGGGCAAAAGAUCACUAUCAAAUAAAACAAGACUUGACAAUGAAGGAAAUCAAACAUUCAAAAAGAUUCCAAGGAAACUCCUAUUAUGAUAAAUAUGGGAAAGACAAAAAGCCUUGAAGUCACUUUCAAAAGCCCUCUCAAGAUCGAAGAUAGCAAGAAUAUAAAGACUCCUAAAGCUAAAGAGGAAAACAUCAAGAAGUCCUUUCAUUUGAGACAAGCUUAUACAUCUGGGUUCAAGAGUCCCUUUUAUGGCUAAUAUUGCCCACUCAUGAAAUCACUUUGGACAUAAGGCAAGAGAGUGUAGAAAACAACUGAGAUACAAUGAUAGAUUGAUCAAUUAUUGAAAUCAUUAUGAGUGGACAAGUAGAAACUAUAAUUCAUAUCCUCCUCAAGUGAAUUUUAAUGUUAUAUGUUAAUUUUAUGAUUAGAUUUAGAACAAUGCAGAUAUGAGACAAUUCACACAAGUUUACACAACAUAUACCAUGGGAAAACCUUCCAACUUGAAGGUGAAACAACAUAUACCAUGGGAAAACCUUCCAACUUGAAGGUGAAAACCCUAGCAACAAAUGUCUUUUAUUAUAUUCGACAAAAUAACAAGUUGUAUUUACAAAAUAUAUUCGACAAAAUAACUAGUUGUAUUUACAAAAUUGCUUCACUACUUGAAGCUAGAUGAUUGGAAAGAAUCCACCAUAGAUGAUAUACGAUCAGCAAUGUGACUCGGACUUCCUUAGAUAAUCCACGAACUGUUGUAGAUGAUCUUUGAUCUGCAGAUAGGUGCGAACUCCUAUGAGAAUUCUACGAUCUGCUGAGUGUGUAUUCGAAUGCCAAGGGGAAGAUAAUUGAUCUCCCUUUAUACUCGUGCAAGGUGACUCUUCAUGAGGAGUCAGCUCCCUUAGGAAUAAGCAUAUCUUCAUUUAGGGUAAUGGAACAUUUCAUUAAGGGUGGCCGACUUUGCCAAAAGUCGGCCCCCUUUAUAAGUAUAUUUAUUUUUCAAACAAAUAAAGAAUCGCACCACUUGGAUAAUUAUCAAUAGACUCCAAAUAUGUAAGGCCGAAGGCCAGUUACAUAUUUCGUGGAAUCGUCCCUCAAGGAGACUCCCGCAGAUACAUACAACAACACUCCCUCUUAGCUAGGGAGGACUCCUUGCUCAUAUUAGUGUCAUGGAAUGACAUCCACCAUGGCUACUCCCAGAGGGUGGAACGAAGUUCAUAAUGGAGGCACUCAACGUGAUGACAUCCAUCAUGGCUACACCCAUGAAUGGAAAUGAAUAUGAACACAAGUGCCUAUCAUGGAGUCACUCAACGUGAUGUUGCCAUCUCAUCAUGAUGGUCACCAUGUCUACUCCCAGAGGGUGAUCAAACACAAGUGAUGUUGUCAUGGAGUCUCUCAACAUGACAUCCAACUUGGCUACUCCCAGAGGGUGGAACAGGGGCUUUCACCUCAAACUUCUCUUUCACAGAGAAAAAUGCAUUAACAAGGGCUUGCACCUCAAACUUCUCUCUCACAGAGAAAAAUGCAUUAACAAGGGCUUGCACAGAGAAGAAGAGAAGAAUGCAUUAAAGUACAUCUCAAGAAAAAUGCAUUAACAAGGGCUUGCACCUCAAACUUCUCUCUCACAGAGAAGAAGAGAAGAAUGCAUUAAAGUACAUCUCAUAAAAAAUGCAUUAACAAGGGCUUGGCUACUCCCAGAGGGUGGAACAAGGGCUUUCACCUCAAACUUCUCUUUCACAGAGAAAAAUGCAUUAACAAGGGCUUGCACCUCAAAUUUCUCUCUCACAGAGAAGAAGAGAAGAAUGCAUUAAAGUACAUCUCAAGAAAUCACUGAUGCUGAGACUCGCUCUCAGCAAGGGCUUCGUUCUCCACAACUUCAAGCUUGUCUCAAAAAUGCACAAACUUCACUCUGGCAAGAGGUUAGGUGAGAAUAUCGGUCGUCUGAUCAUUAGUGCUAAUGUACCUCAGUUGAAUAGCAUUCCUUUGCACCAUAUCUCUAAUAUAGUGAUAUUGAUCUCUACAUGCUUUGUUCUGUCAUGAAACACAAGAUUGAUAGAAAGUUUCAUGCAGCUUUGGUUAUCACAAUGAAUAACUGUAGGCUCCAACGAUUGUCCAAACAAUCCUGCAAGGAGCUUCUGAAGCCACAUUGCUUCGCGAGCUGCCAUACAUGUUGCAAUGUAUCCUACCUUUGCGGUGCUCAGUGCCACUGAAGACUGUUUCCUGCUACACCAAGAAAUCAUAGCAGAUCCCAAACUGAAGCAACAACUAGAGGUGCUCUUCUGAUCAAUAACACUCCUUGCCCAAUCAGAAUUAGAAUAGCCUUGCAGAAUCAAGUCCACACUAGAAGAAUAUUUCAAGCCAUAUCCAAUUGUGCCACUCAAGUAUCUCAAGAUAUGCUUGGCUGCAACUAGAUGUAUCUGCCUUGGUUCACACAUGAACUGACUAAGUGCACUCACUUCAUAGCAAAUAUCCAGUCUAGUGUUAACUAGAUACAUCAAAGAUCCAAUCAAUUGUCUGUACAUAGUAGGAUCCUCAAGAUCUGAACUAGCUGCAAAUUCACUCAAUUUCUUUAAGUUAGUUUCCAUCAAUGUAGACAUAGACUUGCAAUCUAACAUUCCAAAUCUCUUUAAGAUGUCAUUGGUGUAUUUUCCUUGACUUGGGAUGAUCUCAUUAGGCCUCUGCCACACUUCCAAUCCUAAGAAAAAAUGCAUAAGUCCUAGGUCCUUCAUCUCAAAUUCUGAAGUCAACUCCUUGUUGCAUCUAAAGAUGAGAUGUUCUUCUCCAGUAAGAAAUAAGUCAUCGACAUAGAGAACCAAGAUUAAAGAUUCACCAUUGACUACCUUGAAGUAAAGAUUCAGAUCAACAUCAUUCUUGCAGAACCCCAAACUGUCCAAGUAUCGGUCAAUCCUUUCAUACCAUGCACGAGGAGCCUGCUUAAGACCAUAUAAUGCUUUCUUUAAUUUGCAUACAUGAGACUCUUUCCCAUGAAUCAGGAAGCCUUCAAGUUGCUCAAUGUAGACCUCUUCUUCAAUUACACCAUUGAGAAAAGUUGUCUUCACAUCCAUUGGAAGUAUAGUGAGCAACUGGAGCAAAUCUUUCUUCAUAGUCUAUUCGUUCUUUUUGAGAGAAACCACGUGCCACAAAUCUAGCCUUGUACUUCUCAAUGCUUCCAUCAGCAACAUACUUAAUCUUGAAUAGCCAUUUGGAAGAUACAACUGAGUUUCCUUCAAGUCUAGGUACAAUAUUCCAAACAUCAUUCUUAAUAAUGGAUUGAUAUUCUUCAUCCAUAGCAUCUUUCCAUACUUGCUGAUUUGAGGCUUCCUCAACACUAGAAGGUCAAUGCAACAUAGCUAGAGAAUCUAUGUGGUCUUCUACUUUCUCUGAAUGUGCCUCUAGGAGCUGCGAACUUUUUUGCCUCCUGCAUAGUGUUCGUUGCCCAAAGAGGUUUCUUUCGAUUCACAAUAAUAUCUCUAGGCCCAUCAGUAGGAUCCAAGGGUUCAAUUGGAUCAAUGGUCUCUGUUGGUUUAGUAGACUCCCUCUGAAUCUCAGGAGUAUGAUCAAUGUCCAUGUCUUGAGGAGUCUCUUGAUCUUCAUCAUCUAUCUCCAUGCAUGAACCUUUAGAUUUUUUGAAUGCAACAUCUUCUUCAAAGGUGACAUCUCUGCUAACCUCUAUAUGCUUCUGACCUGGAAUGUAGAUUCUGUAGGCUUUAGAAGUUUCAUUGUAGCCUACAAAUAUCCCUUUCUUGCCAGAAGGAUCCAGUUUGUUCUUUUAUCUUUAGGUACAUGAACAUAUAGUGGACAGCCAAAGAUUCUCAAGUGAUUGACUUUAGGCUUCACACAUGUAAAAGCUUCUUCUGGAGUCAUAUUCUGCAGUAUCCGAUGAGGACUUCUGUUUUGAACAUAUAUUGCUGUCCUGGAUGCUUCAGCCCAAAGAAAUGUUUGAAGGUCUUGAUCAUGGAUCAUGGCUUUUGCAACUUCAACAAUGGAUUUGUUCUUUCUUUCUGCAACCCCAUUUUGUUGUGGGUUGUAAGGGACACAAAAAUCCCUCUUAAUUCCCGCCUCAAUACAGAAAUCACGAAAUCUACCAGAGGUGUAUUCACCUCCAUUAUUAGACCUUAAAACUUUAAUUCUUUUCCCAGACAAGUUUUCUACUUGGGCACUCUAUAAAUCUACCUAGGACUUCAUCAGAUUCUUUAGUCCUCAAGAAAUAAAUCCAAGUUCUCCUAGAGCAAUCAUCUAUGAAAAUUACAUAAUACAAAAAUCCACUUAGGGAUGUCAUAGACAUUGGACCACAUAAAUCAGAAUGUACAAGAUCUAAUAUUUCUUUUGACCUACUUUCAUUGUUAUGAAAUGGACUCUUAGUAUUUUUACCCAUAGCACAACCUUUACAAGUAUCGUCAUGUACAUGAGUAAGUUUAGGAAUACCUUUAACCAUCUUUUCCAAUGAUGGAAGAGCCCUGUAAUGUAGAUGGCCAAGUCUUCUAUGCCAUAGUUCGCUGGAACUCAAAGAGUCAUGUAGAAGAGCUUGAACUGGAUGAAUGGAAAGCUUGUACAAACUCUCAUGUCGAUUCUCGAUCACAUGAGUAGUCUUGAUGUUGGAGUUCUUUGGCCGUGCAAGAACUCUCCCUUCUGAAAAUGCUACUUGAUAACCUUUGUCCUCCAAGGCUGAAAUAGAUACAAGAUUCCUCUUGAUUCUUGGCACGAACAAGACAUCACUUAGAUGAAGGGGAAUGCCAGAUUCUAGAUGGAGAGAAGUGGCACCAAAUCCUUUCACGGAAUAGCAUGCAUCAUCUCCAAUGAUCACUUGAAGAUUAGUCUCUCUUUCCGCCAAAUCUGAAAUAUGUUCUCAACAGUCUGUGAUGUGACGAGAAGCUCCAUAUUCAAUCAAACAGGUGUCACUAUUCGUGGGAACAUUACUUGAUAAGGCGGAUAUGAAGAGGAAUCCAUUAGAAGUGUCUCCAACUUCCUUUUGAGUUGAGACUUAAUUAAUGUUUGCCACUUGUUGCUUUGGCCUUGUUAAACAAUCUUUAGCAUAGUGACCACACUUGUCGCAUCUAAAACAUUGAAUGUGGGAGAGAUCUUUCUUCUUCUUCUUUGAUUCGGGUGCAGAAUCUGAUCUUUGAUCUCUAUUCCUCUUGAAGUUGCCUUUUCUCCAAUUUCUUCCUUUCUUCUUAGUAGAUUGAGUGGCUAGAACACAAGUGUCUUCAUUUUGAGAGCCUAUGCCAUUUCCCCUUGCAGCCAACCUAGAUUCUUCUUGGAUGCAAGCAACACAAAGACGAUCAAACCUGGGCAACUUGGAUCUCUCACUCAUACUUUGAAUAAAUGGCUCCCAAGAAUGAGGAAGGCCAUUUAAUGCCAACAUGACAAGAUCUUUAUCCACAACUUGAUCUCCAAUGGUGCUUAGUUGAUCCCUCAGCUCAAAGAUCUUCAUGAAGAAUGAUAUGACAGUUUCUCCUUUCGCUAUCUUGACUUGAUGAAGUUGUUGCAACUUGCCUCAAUGCAAGAGCCCUACUUGUGUUGUUGAUCUCAUAUAGACCUUCCAAGGUUUUGAACAUGUCUCUUGCAGUUGUCAUUUUGGAAAUGAGAGGCACUAAGUGAUCCUUCACAGUGUCAAUCAAGAUCUUCUUCGCUUUUAUAGAAUUCUUCUUGAACUGAAGUUUUUCCGUUUGAUCUUUUGGCUCAGAUAAAUCUUUUUCUUCCACAAACUGAAGAUCAUUUUCUUCAAGUGCAAUAAGAACUCUAAACUUCCACGAAGUGAAGUUUGAAGCACCUCAAAGUCCAUCUUCGACCUUGAGACCGUUCACCAUUUUUUCGAGGCUUUGAUAUUGCUCUUUGAAGAAGAGAGAUGAAAGAGAACUUCGCUGCUAUAAGGAAAUCUGAUCAUGAUCUUCUCAAACCCGCUCUGAUACCAUGUUAAUUUUAUGAUCAGAUUUAGAACAAUGCAGAUAUGAGACAAUUCACACAAGUUUACACAGCAUAUACCUUGGGAAAACCUUCCAACUUCAAGGUGAAAAACUGAGCAACAAAUGUCUUUUAUUAUAUUCGACAAAAUAGCAAGUUGUAUUUACAAAAUUGCUUCACUAGUUGAAGCUAGAUGGUUGGAAACAAUCCAACAUAGAUGAUAUAUGAUUUGCAAUGUGAAUCGGACUUCCUUAGAUAAUCCACGAACUGCUGUAGAUGAUCUUCGAUCUGCAGAUAGGUGCGAACUCCUGUGAGAAUUCUACGAUCUGCUGAGUGUGUAUUCGAAUGCCAAGGGAAAGAUAAUUGAUCUCCCUUUAUACCCGUGCGAGGUGACUCUUCAAGAGGAGUCGACUCCCUUAGGAAUAAGACAUCUCUUCGUUUAGGGCAAUGCAACCUUUCGUUAAGGGUGGUGGACUUUGCCAACAGUCGGCCCCCUUUACAAGUAUAUUUAUUUUUCAAACAAAUAAAGAAUCGCACCACUUGGAUAAUUAUCGAUAGACUCCAAAUAUGUAAGGCCGAAGGCCAAUUACAUAUUUGGUGGAAUCCUCCCUCAAGGAGACUCCCGCAGAUACAUACGACAACAAUGUGCUACAAAUGCAAUAAAUAUGGACAUAUAGCAAGACGUUGCAGAUGCAGUUUUGUGAAACCACAUAGAGGGUACAGAUAAAGGAUACCGUGGACAAAAAAAAGGAAGACCUACUAUGGUAUGGAGAAGAAAACAAGACCAAGACAAGGAGGAGAAUAAAAAGGAUGAAUCUAUGAUUAUGCAUUAUUCACUUCAUGCACAAAUUUGAAGAAGCAUGAAUUUAGGGGGAGCUUAUUAUUGCACUAUCAUUCAACUUUGUGGAAAAGACAACUCAAAAGUGAAGACAAAAUGAGAACUAUAGCAGCAAUGGAAGGAUUUGUGACUAUGACUUGGUAAUAGCAAACUACAUAUUGCAAAGGUUACCAUAUAAUGAAGAGAAAGAGAAUCAAUGUCAAGAGGAAGAAUCAUGAAAGGAAUCUUCGAAUGAAACUUAAAACAUAAAAAGGGGAAUCCACUUCUGGAAUAGAUCAGCAACAAGGGAAAAUAAUGAAUUGGUAUCUACAUAUUCAAUAUCCUAGAUGUUGAAGGAUUGCAUACUCUUAACCCAUGCACAUGAAGAGAUUUAACAUCUUGAAGAGCCAAGAAUAAGGAGUUUUCAUUUGAAAGCAAAUUGAAGAAAAAGUUCCCAUGCAAGAGGAUAGCAAAGAGCAGAAAGACAAUCAUUUAGUUGUGACAAUUAGAAAUCUUGAAGGAGAGAAGAUUCUCACAGAGAGAUUAAAAGGACGAUCCUCAUCUAGUAGCCAUGAAUAAGAGAAGAAGAGUUGAACAUGUAUAAAAAAGUGAUGAGAUAGCUAAACAAAAUUCUUGAGUCGUGAAACUCGAAGAGAUGAUGCAAAAUUCGUUGAACUAUAGAAGAAGCAAAUCACCCAAGAAAGAGGAGUAUUAGAACAAGGGUGAGCAUUACAUAAUCUCCAAUAGGGGAAGAAGCAUAUACCGUUUGCUUUAAAUGUGAGUAUAAGAGUAGAUGUUAGACAUGAUCCAUUUGUGGAUAGAAGUUCAUAAACAUCCCUUUGGCAUUGAUUUCAAAGGGCAGAGAUAUAGAAUGGGGGGAGAGUUAAAGAGAAGAGAAAGAAUAUGUUGCCAUCAAUGAUUGUUGGAAAUAUUGAUAUUGAUGUCAAGGGCACUUGGUUGCAAUUGUUAGAUUUCAUCAUUGAUGUCAAAGGUGAGAUUGUAUUUGUAAGAUUGUUUUAAAAGUUGUCAUCAUUAUCAUUGACGACAUUGUCAAAAGUGAGAAGACGAAUGAAGAUGCCUAUAUUAAAUGUCAAAGGAGGAAUGGACAAGACUAAAAGAUAAUUAUGAAAAUGGAAGUCUUCAAAAGUGAGAAGACGAAUGAAGAUGGCUAUAUUUAAUGUCAAAGGAAGAAUGGACAAGACUAAAAGAUAAUUAUGAAACGGAAGUCUUCAAAAAAAGAUGAAGAUAGCCAACUAGUAUGAAACAUCAUUAAAAAGAAGAAGCAAUUCAUGUAGUGAGAAGCGAACUAGUAUGGAACAUCAUUAAAAAGAAGAAGCAAUUCAUGUCGUGAGAAGCAAACUAGUAUGGAACAUCAUUAAAAAGAAGAAGCAAUUCAUGUAGUGAGAAGCAAACUAGUAUGGAACAUCAUUAAAAAGAAGAAGCAAUUCAUGUAGUGAGAAGCGCCCAAGUACAAGCAACGAACUCGCAAAAGUCAGCAAAUAGAAGCAAUGAUCAAGAAAGUGAUACACAACAAAUGAAAGCGCAUCAAUCAUUAUUGAUAUGUCAAAGAAAACAGACAGCAAUCACAUUAAUGCAAUGGAAGAAAGCGUCAAGGAGAAGAUCAACUCCAAAACAUGGGUGCGCUUAAGUAUUGAAAUGAUAGUAAAUGUUUAUGAUAUGAACAAUAUUUGUUUGUUUGAUUAAUAAAGACAUUUAUAAAGUAUAGAUGGUCCGAUUCUCUCAAGAAAAUAUAUGCAAAAAGCAGCGAUGACAUAUUAAAGAUCAAGGCAACGUUGAUGAGUAGAGAUAAAUUGAAGAUUAGCAAUUAUAUGAAUAAAGAUAUGCGCUUUGACUUGGGCAAUAAAAAGUUAUAAGCAAAGAACAAUGUAAAAGUGGCAAUUUGUUCAUAUGGCAAAUGAAAUGAUCAUUAAAUAGCAGUAAAUACAUAAAUCUAAAAAGGCAGUGACUGUAUUUUUAAAGGCAGCAAAUGAAGUUAUGUUUGACCAACAUUGUGAUAUGAGCAGCGAUUACACAAAUCACAGCGGCUAUUGAAGGAUCAAAUGGUGAGAUUAUUAAAGGAUCAAAUGAUGCAAUUUUGAUUUAAAUAUGUUGGUUGAUUCCAUAGCAACAGUACACAACAAUGUUUAUAAGACAAUGAUUAAUAACAAGUUUGAAAAGCGGCGAUUAAGAAAAGUGUUGAGGAGAUGCGAUUCAGUUUGUAUCUGCUUAAGAAGAGUUAAAUAGCAGCAACCUGUCAUUGCUUAAUAUUCAUUAAGUGGUUGUACCAAAAGGGGCGCCCAAGAUUAAUAAGGCAGUGCUUAAUAUAUGAGAGCACUUAAAUGGCAUACAACUAAAAUGUUAAUUAAUAUACAGGUGCGAUUUGUUUCUAAGAGACAUAACCUUUUGAAAGGUUAUCUAUUCAAAUCAUCCUUCUGAUAAGUAUAUAAAGAGGUUCCGUGAAGAAUGAUAAAUUAUGUGAAGUGUGUGUGUGUGUGCAAGUAUUGAGUGAAAAGAUAAAUAUAACACACAAGCAGAUCUGAAGAAAAAGAAAAUAUAUAUGAACAGAUCUAUGGAAGAGAUGAGUAUUACUUUGUGAAAAGAAUAAUAAAGGGAUGUUCAUAUGCAGAUUUAAAGACAAUGUGCAGCAGAAUUAGAACAGACAUAUAAGCCACUUUUGAGCAGAGGUGUUAUGAGCAUAAUUAGAGAGGAAGUAUGAGCAGACUUGUGAAAGCAUUCAUGGCAGAUUUAUGAUCAGGUUAUGGGCAGAUGUGAGGAAGAUUAUGACAGUUUGAAGAAGAGAGUUAUAGCUAUUGUGAAUACAACUUGAAUGAGGGUUUGGUGCCUCCAGAUGAAUGAGGGGUUGGUGCCUACAGACUUUGUAAAAGAAGAAUUUAUAUAAAAGCAUUAAUUUGUUGUGGUUUUCUCCUAUAAGGGAUUCCACACAUAUCUUGUGUACUGUUUGUGUUACAUGAUAGUUAGAUUUCAUGUGUUUGUGUUAUAUGAUAGUUAGAUUUCAUGUGAAUGUUAAUAUGCAACGAAUAUGUUUGAGAUUAAUUUAGAUGCGUAUGUAAGUUGAAAAAGUAAAAGUUUGUUGUUAUACUUAUUCAUCCCCUCUCUCAGUAUAACUGUAUGCUCAUCAAACCUUUCAUAUUUUUUGUUCCUAUAAGAAUUCUCAAUGGUUCUUGUUCCCACUAGAGGCUUUGACGUAGUAGUUCAAACAUAUAUAAAGCAUCAAAAAGUUCUUAAUAGUUCAAAAACCUUUGACAAAGAGAAUGUUCCUUGUUUUUAGUUUUGACUAAAACCUCGAUAAAGGGCAAUAAGUGCUUGGUUUCCAAUGUGAUAGGAAUUCUCGACAGAUGGGAAAUAAAGAUUAACAUGGAGAUAAUUCCUAAUAGAUUAGGAAUUGCCCACAAGUUGUAUAGGAAUUCUCGAGUGAAAGGAACUAGAUUCUAUUUUUAGCAAAGUCUCCAACAGAUUGGAAAGAGUGAUUAUUAAAUUAGAGAACAGAUUGGAAAGAGGAAUUAUUAUAUUAGAGGUAGCCUGAAGUUGCAGACAGUUUUUGAGGGGUAUUAAAGCAUUGACCAAUACCUCAAAUACUUUUUCAAGUGUUCAAGGACUCGUUAAAAGAUGACACAUGCCAAAUGAGGAUUAAUGACUUAGUGGCUAAACUUCUUUUUUUUUUUCAGAUAGUCAAACUUUCAUAUGUGGGAAGAAUUUAAAGGGGAAAAGCGAUUUGAUUAGGCUUGGAAAUGUUUGGAAGAAUAGUUUGGCAAUGAGAUGAUCCAAAGUUCAUUGAAUUGGUUUGAAUAAUUUCAGAGAUUGGAGUAUAUAGGUUGAGAAAAUUUUGAACAAGUAAUGUUUCAGAUAAUAAUUGAGUUGAACUAUAUUGUAUUCCUAAUCAUUUUAAUGCAAUGUGACAUAUGAAUAAGAAAACUUUUUUUGUUGUAGCUAUGUGAUUGGGCUACUUGAUAGUAAACCUAGAUGUUGACUAUAUUAGGUGGUAUUGGAGCAGGUUUUUUGUUGGGAGUUGGUAGGAGAAUAGAGAAGUGGAGUGGUGAUAGAGCUAUUGUAGAUUUGAGGAGUCUUGCAAUAGAAGAGGGCUAAUAGAGACAAUCAAACUUAUGAAGGUAAGUUUUCUUUAAACAAUGUGUAGAUACAUUGACAAAGAUAGUAUUUUGAGUUGUGAAAAAUUAAGGAAAAUGCCCUUGAGAAGAAGUCCUAGAAACAACUUCAGGUCUAUGGAGAAAUAUAGACAAUGCAAAUGAGCAUACAAGUGAUAAAGAGAGUGAAGUUGAUGAGUGUGAUAGAGAAAAUGAACAACCAUUAGAUGAAGGAGAAAAUUGAUUCUUGAAAGCUCUUGCCACUUGGAUUUGUAAGGGUAAUGGAAUAGAAGCCCCAAAUUUUUCUUGAGCAUCUAACCAUGAAGAGCUGAUAGAUUGGGUAGGUGUGUUGGAAGGCCAUUUUAAUAUGGAAGAAAUUUAUGACCCAUCGAGAGUAAAUUUGGCAUAGACAAAACUCAAAGGACAUGUUGCACUUUGGUGGAGGAAUCGCAUUUAGGGGCUGAUAUUAGGCUCUAAUACCAUGUAGAAGUUAAUGAUCAACUACAAGAGACAAGAAUCAUCUGCAAACAAACAUCUAUCACACAAAAGAUAUCAAGCAAAGAUUGUAUGCUAUAUAACAACCAAAGAAUUUUGUAUUAUUGCACAAAGAGUGAUUGAAGAUAUAAUAUUGGAGGUACAAUUACAAUGAAUGAAUGAACAAACCCUUAUAAAGGAUGAAUGAAACCUUAGGUGCAAACCCUAAUGUUAAAAUUAGAACUAAAGCAAUGCAAAUUAGGAGCUAAAUUAAGUUUAACUACAUCUAGAACUAAAACUAGAAAAAGCAAACUCUAGAUAAUAAAAGGCACCUAAGUUUAGCUUGUUUGAAAAACCAAUUAAAAUACCUAAUUAAUAAAUAAUUAGAUAGUUGCCCUAAAAUUUCUCCACCCCCUCUUAAAACCCCCACUUGAGAUUAACGUAGGGAUAAAAGGAUAAAAGGAGAAAAACCACAUGGGAAAAACUCUCUCCAAAAGUGUGAGAUGCAAUGAAAUGAGAAAGAUACUACAUGUGACUAAGAUGAAAGACUCCCAAGUGGCUCCCCAAGUACAAAAUCAGUCAAGAGAGAAAAUGAGGAUAAAAAUCCUCCCAAUGAAGAAGUAGCUCUUGUGCCAAUGAUGAAUGCCUAAAGACAAAACAUAAAUAAUUGCUUGCAAACAACAUUACUCUACUUCAAAAGAAACCAAUCCAUUGGAAAGAGGAGAAGCCACUCCCAUAAACUGGAAGAUAUAGGAAUCCAAAUCCAAAGUUUAUGUGCCUCUGGAAACUGCUCAAAUGCUGCCAUGUCUAUGAUAGAUAAUAAUGGCACAAACCAAUCAAGUACAUGCCCAAUCAAAGUAGGAGGUGACAAAUUAGAACUCUGCAAAUGCUGAUGAAGAUCAAGAUUCAUAGGCGAUAAAGAUAAGCUGCCAAAAUUGAUGUGGCUAUCAGCAAAGUGGGGAUGAAGGUCCUCAAAAUAAUCCUCCAAAUCUGCAAUAUGAGACUCCACAAACAAGGAUAAUAUGUCUACAAGAUACGAAUCCCAAGGAGCUAUGUUUGGAAGGAUAAUGUCAUGUUGCACUGACAAGACCUUUGAUAUACUCAAGCUCCUCUGUAGUAUCAUUAUCAAAGGGUAUGGAAGUACUGAUUCACCCCUCCCCUCUUAGUACAUUAGCUUUCCAUAUUGGGCCUAACAUUUGUUAGAUGCCUCUGCUUGUCCAUUACCUUGAGGGUAAUAUACUGAUGACCAAUGUUGUUUUAUUUUGAAUUUCUCACAGAGUUCGUUUAGAUCUUUGUUCUUGAACUGUCCUACAUUGUCAGUUAUAAUAGAUGAAGGUAUACCAUACCUGCAAAUGAUAUAAUUAAGAAUAGAUAGAGCUACUUGUUUGCCAGUUGCCUUGAUGAGCGGAACCUCUUCUACCCACAAGGACACUUAAUGUCCAAUAUAGCAUACAUAGUGUCAAAAUCAACACUAGAACCAAUCACACCUACAACAUGGUCAGUGAAAUUACCCCAAGCUGAUUUGGUCAGUGAAAUUACCCCAAGCUGAUUUACCUCCUGGAGUUACUAGUUCAGGUAUGAGUCCAUACAAAUAAGGCAACUUAUCUAGCCACCUAAGAUGUGUUAGAAUGUUGUGUUGCCAAGACUCAUGAUUGCACUUAGCCAAGCGAGCAAGUUAAGGACUAACAAAAAAACAAUUGAGAUAAAUGGUUGUUGAUUUAUUUUAAAUGUGAACAAGGUUAAGUUUUAGACAAUCAUUGUUGUAUUAUGACAUAGUUAAAAUAAAUAAUAAAAGACAAUGUACAUACUACCAUCUAACAUCAUUUUUUUUAGCAUUACAAAUAUAGAGCAAAACAAAAGAAUGUGUUGUUCAAACUCAUAUUAUUGAGAUCUAUUUGAUUUAGACACAUGAUGCUUGUAUAUAUUAUAGUGAUUUUAUUAAAUUUGAAGAAGGUUAGGUUGUAGACAAUCAUUGCUGUAUUAUAUUAUAAAAUAUAAAGUAAAAUAAAAUGAUGUAUGCAUUGUUGAAAACUUAUUUUGAGAUGUAUUUGAGUUACACACAUGAUGCUUGUAGAUGUUACUGUGAUUUUUCUUAUUGUGAACAAGGUUAAAUUUUUAGAUAAUCAUUUUUGUAUUAACAGUGUACAUACUACCAUCUAACAUUAUUUUUUAAAUAUCAUAAAAUAUAAAGUAAAAUAAAAUGAUGUAUGCAUUGUUGAAACUUAUUUUGAGAUGUAUUUGAGUUACACACAUGAUUCUCAUAGAUGUUAUGGUGAUUUAUUUUUAAUGUGAACAAGGUUUGAAUUUUUAAACAAUCAUUGUUGUAUUAUGAUAUUGUUAACGUACGUAAUAGAAGACUGUGUACAUACUACCAUCUAACAUUUUUUUUUAUGAUAUUAUAAAAUAUAAAGUGAAAUAAAGGAUCAAUGCAUUGUUGAAACUUAUUUUGAGAUAUCUUAAGUUACACACAAUUUUCAUGAAUGUUAUGGGAAUUUAUUUUUAACAUGCACAAGGUUAAUUUUUAAACAAUCAUUGUUGUAUUAUGACAUUGUUAACAUAAGUGGUAGAAGAUUGUGUACAUUGUUGAAGUCUUAUUUUGAGAUGUAUUUGAGUUACACACAUGAUGUUCAUAGAUGUUAUGGUGAUUUAUUUUAAAUGUGAACAAGGUUAAUUUUUAGAGAAUCAUUGUUAUAUUAUGACAUUGUUCACAUACGUAAUAGAAGACAGUGUACAUACUACCAUCUAACAUUAUUUUUUGGUAUUACAAAACUUAAAGAAAAAUAAAAUAAUUCGUACAUUGCUUGAAACUCAUAUUCAUAUUUAUUUGAUUUAUAGAAGAUGCUCAUAAAUUUUAUAGAAUGAUCUUAAAUUACUUCCUUUACUUCACAAGUAAUUUAUAUGUUUACUAUGCAAUUUUAUAAUAUUGAAUUUGAUGCUAAUUAUGAUAUUAAUGUAAAUUAUUUUGCCAUUGAAAGUAACUUAUUGUAUGAUAUCACUAUUUCACAUAUUAACCCUUUUUUUGGAUUAUUAUAUAUCUUAAUCAAUUGUGGAAUGACAAUGGUUAUGUUAGGAAAUGAAGUAAUUUUUUUAAUUCUAUGCAUUAAGUAGAAAUUAUUUUACUAAUUAAUUUAAAUUCAAAUAAUGGUGAGAAAUGAUGUUGAAACUAAUUUUAGACCAAUGAAUCUUACUAAUGCAUUUUUGUGUCGCUUGAUGAGGAUGCAAUUGUGAGUGGAGCACGUACGUCAUGAAGUCUUCAAAAUAGCUUUAAGGGGAUACAAUUGUGAGUGGAGCACGUACUUCAUGAAGUCUUCAAAUAGCUCUAAGGGGAGUGAUAACUAAACUUCUAAAUCAAGUGGAGGGAACGCUAACUGGCCUUCAAGAAAGUAUAAGUGUGGUUAACUAAGUUGCAGCAUUAUGCUCCUGGUGUGCUAGUUCUUUUGGUUGGAAGAAAAUUAGGCUGAUCUCUCCAAGGAUGAGCAUUAUUUAUCUGACCAUCGUGGUUCAGUCCCUGUAACAACUGCAGAAAUCUCCCCAAGGAUCAACAUUAUUUAUCUGACCAUCCUGGUUCAGUCCCUAUAACAACUGUAGAAGAAUUUGGUCCGUGUUCACUGAUAGUUCAGCCAAUCACCAAAGCCAUCAGCUACAAAACACAAGAGGGACAGCAGAGGGUUAUCCUGUACUAGGUAUUUUUUAUGUCGCUGUGUGUGCAGCCCAAACUUGAGCUAGAAAAAUAGAUAUUUUUGAACAUUGAAUAUGUGUUCUCUUCAAAUAUAACCAUGCUAAGUCUCUUUUUGUGGGUUUUGGAGAAUAUUAUGCAAGAUAUUCUAAGGCAAAGGUUAUAGGAACAGAUAGGUUGUCUUCAACACCUAUAGCAAUGGCAACAACUAGUCUUGUGAAAUUGGUGACAACAUCCAGUAUGGCAACAAUAAAGCUUGCAUACCAGCUUUUUUUGUAAUACAUAAUUUAAUGGUUAUAUCAAUCGCCUGUUUGCAGACCAGCCUUUUUUGUAAGGUUAUAGCAAUGGUUCACAUAUGUAUCUGAAACUUCUUGAUGGUUAUUAUUGUGAGUUUAUUAUUACUGCCCAAUCUGAAACUUCUUGAUGGUUUAAUCAUAAUGACGCCUGACGAAGGCAUUCAACUUAUUGAAAUGUAAAACUUACUACGCCAUGUAUCAAUAGUUUGUCAAGAAACGCUUGCAAAUUUUUUUA